UUCGGAGGUACUCGAGUGGCGAACGGGUGAGUAACACGUGGGCAAUCUGCCCUGCACUUCGGGAUAAGCCUGGGAAACUGGGUCUAAUACCGGAUAGGACCUCAAGACGCAUGUCUUCUGGUGGAAAGCUUUUGCGGUGUGGGAUGGGCCCGCGGCCUAUCAGCUUGUUGGUGGGGUGACGGCCUACCAAGGCGACGACGGGUAGCCGGCCUGAGAGGGUGUCCGGCCACACUGGGACUGAGAUACGGCCCAGACUCCUACGGGAGGCAGCAGUGGGGAAUAUUGCACAAUGGGCGCAAGCCUGAUGCAGCGACGCCGCGUGGGGGAUGACGGCCUUCGGGUUGUAAACCUCUUUCACCAUCGACGAAGGUCCGGGUUUUCUCGGAUUGACGGUAGGUGGAGAAGAAGCACCGGCCAACUACGUGCCAGCAGCCGCGGUAAUACGUAGGGUGCGAGCGUUGUCCGGAAUUACUGGGCGUAAAGAGCUCGUAGGUGGUUUGUCGCGUUGUUCGUGAAAUCUCACGGCUUAACUGUGAGCGUGCGGGCGAUACGGGCAGACUAGAGUACUGCAGGGGAGACUGGAAUUCCUGGUGUAGCGGUGGAAUGCGCAGAUAUCAGGAGGAACACCGGUGGCGAAGGCGGGUCUCUGGGCAGUAACUGACGCUGAGGAGCGAAAGCGUGGGGAGCGAACAGGAUUAGAUACCCUGGUAGUCCACGCCGUAAACGGUGGGUACUAGGUGUGGGUUUCCUUCCUUGGGAUCCGUGCCGUAGCUAACGCAUUAAGUACCCCGCCUGGGGAGUACGGNCGCAAGGCUAAAACUCAAAGGAAUUGACGGGGGCCCGCACAAGCGGCGGANCAUGUGGAUUAAUUCGAUGCAACGCGAAGAACCUUACCUGGGUUUGACNUGCACAGGACGCGUCUAGAGAUAGGCGUUCCCUUGUGGCCUGUGUGCAGGUGGUGCAUGGNUGUCGUCAGCUCGUGUCGUGAGAUGUUGGGUUAAGUCCCNCAACNAGCGCAACNCUUGUCUCAUGNUGCCNGCGGGUAAUG
rnacentral:rRNA from 1 species